rnacentral:rRNA from 1 species
UUGGAGGGCAAGUCUGGUGCCAGCAGCCGCGGUAAUUCCAGCUCCAAUAGCGUAUAUUAAAGUUGUUGCAGUUAAAGAGCUCGUAGUUGAAUUUCGGGAUUGACGUGAUGGUCAUGCCUUAAGGGGUAUGAACUGUUACUGUUGAUUUCUCACCUUCUGGAGAAACUUGAUGUCCUUUAUUGGGUGUCUUGCGGAUCCAGGACCUUUACCUUGAAAAAAUUAGAGUGUUUAAAGCAGGCAUUUUUGCUCGAAUACAUUAGCAUGGAAUAAUAGAAUAGGACGGCAUGGUUCUAUUUUGUUGGUUUCUAGGAUCACCGUAAUGAUUAAUAGGGAUAGUUGGGGGCAUUAGUAUUCAAUUGUCAGAGGUGAAAUUCUUGGAUUUAUUGAAGACUAACUACUGCGAAAGCAUUUGCCAAGGAUGUUUUCAUUAAUCAAGAACGAAAGUUAGGGGAUCGAAGACGAUCAGAUACCGUCGUAGUCUUAACCAUAAACUAUGCCGACUAGGAAUCAGACGAUGUUAAUUUUUUAAUGACUCGUUUGGCACCUUACGGGAAACCAAAG